CCAUGCCUAAAGCCUCCUGGGAUCAUCACACAACCUGGGAUGCUUAAGGGCAUUCUCCACUUUUCCUCUGCAUGCACUGUGGCAGCUUGUCAGGGAGCCAGCUGCAAGAACCAGGAAGAAACAGCCAGCCUACUGAUGAUGUCAGAUGAGAAGAAAUGGUGUUGCAGCUUAAACCAGACAAUGCUGGAUUUGUUGGGCAAGUUUUAAAUAUAAACUUGAAGAAAAAAUGCUAGUUGCUUGGCUGUCUUGCCAGUCCAAUAUCCACCAUAUUUUUUGAGGCAGUGUCCUGCAACAAAUGUACAGCAAUCAGAUCCAGAGUGAAUCCAGAAGUCACAAUCUGUAUACUUGUUCCUGAUAAGUAGCUUAGACAUGGAUGAAACCAAAGGAUCAAAUAAAGGAAGUCAGCCAGCAAUGGCAGCCUACAUGUAUAUAUUUAAUAUCAGGGGUAAGGACAGUCAAAGAACAACAUAUGCACAAGUCGUUGUCAGUAUUAGAAUAACGAUUAGUAAUCCAUCACAACCCUGCAGACUAUUUUCUUCUAAUUCAAAAGACAGCCAUCUAGCAAAUUUCACAUGACUGGCAGGAGGUUCUCCAUUUAUUGCAAAGAAGUGCUUUUUGUAACAUGGUUCCAUAACAAUCACUAAAAGCAAUUUGUUGUGCCAGACUGUUGAUUAAACACUAAAUAAUACCCCCUGGGAAAAUCUGUCACUGUCUGUUACUUUAUUUACAGAAGUGCCUCAACAGACAGUGCCCUAAAUAAAUAAGGCGCUUGUGUAGUUGGUAUCUUUUUUUACAAACUAGUACAAAAUAAAAACUAUACUCCUUUUCAAAAAUCUAUUCAUGAUGUAUUUCCGAGUUGUUCAAGUAUUAUAUAAGCCGUACUUCGUCAACCAAGUUAUGUUGUUUGAAGCCAGCAGGAGGUGCAAAGUUCACAAGAAAAUAUCAUUUGACAAACAGCAAAACAAUUCUUCCUUUGUGAAGUUUUUGGCCCUUCCAACA